CCCACCAUUACCUCGCCCUCCCUUCCCCACCACGACCUCAACCCUCCUGAGGAGAUCAGUCCCCAAGCCCUCGGUCCCUCAGUCCACCAAUGAAGCCCUCAGUCCACUGAAGCCCUCAGAUCUGCGGGAGGUUUAGCAUACAUUUCAAUUUUUUUUUUCAUCUGUUUACUCCUUUAUCUCUGUAUUUGCUAAACCAACCCCACCAGUUUACAUGCUUAAAUACUUUUGAAUAAGGCAUCAAGAAGUAUAAGGAUGAUGCGAGGUGUGAAUUCUUCAUAUGGGCAGAUAUACUUAAUAUGUUAGAGGAGAAUUUUUGUGUUAAAGAGAAUGAGGCUUCAAAGACAUGGGAUGAUGUACUACAGCGAGAGUAUGGCGUUCGGAAAAGAGAAGAAAAGUGAGAGAGAUAGCGAAGAAUCUAAAAAAGGAAAAAUGAAAAUUGUUGUGUUUGUACUGAGUUAUCACAUUUGUAAUAAUGUUUGCUUGGUUCGGAUAAAUUCCUAGACUAUUUUGCACGUUGUAUGGAUUAGAUUUUGAUAAAAACCAUGUAAAUUAUAUGUUGCUAAAUCAACCUGUGUAAUGAAAACAGGUUGUGCACUUCUCUGUUUUUUGAAAA